GAAUAUUGCGCAAUAGGGGCAACCCUGACGCAGCGACGCCGCGUGGGGGAUGAAGGCCUUCGGGUUGUAAACCCCUUUCAGGAGGGAAGAAAUUGACGGUACCUCCAAAAGAAGGACCGGCCAACUACGUGCCAGCAGCCGCGGUAAUACGUAGGGUCCGAGCGUUAUCCGGAGUCAUUGGGCGUAAAGAGCUCGUAGGCGGUUCAGCAAGUCGGCUGUGAAAGUCCGGGGCUCAACCCCGGAAUUGCAGUCGAUACUGCUGUGACUCGAGUCCGGUAGAGGAGAACGGAAUUCCCGGUGUAGCGGUGAAAUGCGCAGAUAUCGGGAGGAACACCAGUAGCGAAGGCGGUUCUCUGGGCCGGCACUGACGCUGAGGAGCGAAAGCGUGGGGAGCAAACAGG
rnacentral:rRNA from 1 species